rnacentral:rRNA from 1 species
CUUUUCUCAAGGAAGAAGUUCUGACGGUACUUGAGGAAUAAGCAUCGGCUAACUCUGUGCCAGCAGCCGCGGUAAUACAGAGGAUGCAAGCGUUAUCCGGAAUCACUGGGCAUAAAGCGUCUGUAGGUGGUUUGGUAAGUCUGCUGUUAAAGACUGGGGCCCAACCCCAGAAAAGCAGUGGAAACUGCUAGACUUGAGUGUGGUAGAGGUAGAGGGAAUUCCUAGUGUAGCGGUGAAAUGCGUAGAUAUUAGGAAGAACACCAAUGGCGAAGGCACUCUACUGGGCCAUAACUGACACUCAGAGACGACAGCUAGGGGAGCAAAUGGGAUUAGAUACCCCUGUAGUC